rnacentral:rRNA from 1 species
UACAGAGGGUGCGAGCGUUGUUCGGAAUUAUUGGGCGUAAAGGGCGCGUAGGCGGUCGCGUAAGUCACUUGUGAAAUCUCCUGGCUCAACUGGGAGCUUGCAGGCGAAACUGCGUAACUGGAGUGUGGGAGAGGUGCGUGGAAUUCCUGGUGUAGCGGUGAAAUGCGUAGAUAUCAGGAGGAACACCUGUGGCGAAAGCGGCGCACUGGACCACAACUGACGCUGAGGCGCGAAAGCUAGGGGAGCAAACAGG